CGGGUGCACUGAUCCAGCCGGGCCUUUCCCUCUGUGGAACCCCAUGGCCUUCACUGGCUGUGGUGGGGAAACAGGACUUUUACUUUGAAAAAAUUAGAGUGCUCCAGGCAGGCCUAUGCUCGAAUACAUUAGCAUGGAAUAAUAGAAUAGGACGUGUGGUUCUAUUUUGUUGGUUUCUAGGACCGCCGUAAUGAUUAAUAGGGACAGUCGGGGGCAUCAGUAUUCAAUUGUCAGAGGUGAAAUUCUUGGAUCUAUUGAAGACUAACUACUGCGAAAGCAUUUGCCAAGGAUGUUUUCAUUGAUAAGGAACGAAAGUUAGGGGAUCGAAGACGAUCAGAUACCGUCGUAGUCUUAACUAUAAACUAUGCCGACUAGGGAUCGGACGAUGUUAUUCUUUGACGCGUUCGGCACCUUUCGAGAAAUCAAAGUGCUUGGGCUCCAGGGGGAGUAUGGUCGCAAGGCUGAAACUUAAAGAAAUUGACGGAAGGGCACCACCAGGGGUGGAACCUGCGGCUUAAUUUGACUCAACACGGGGAAACUCACCAGGUCCAGACACAGUGAGGAUUGACAGAUUGAGAGCUCUUUCUUGAUUCUGUGGGUGGUGGUGCAUGGGCCGUUCUUAGUUGGUGGAGUGAUUUGUCUGCUUAAUUGCGAUAACGAACGAGACCUUUAACCUGCUAAAUAGCCCGUACUGCUUUGGCAGUUCGCCGGCUUCUUAGAGGGACUAUCGG
rnacentral:rRNA from 1 species